rnacentral:rRNA from 1 species
UGCCUACGGGGGGCUGCAGUGGGGAAUUUUGGACAAUGGGCGCAAGCCUGAUCCAGCCAUGCCGCGUGCAGGAAGAAGGCCUUCGGGUUGUAAACUGCUUUUGUCAGGGAAGAAAUCUUCUGGGCUAAUACCCCGGGAGGAUGACGGUACCUGCAGAAUAAGCACCGGCUAACUACGUGCCAGCAGCCGCGGUAAUACGUAGGGUGCAAGCGUUAAUCGGAAUUACUGGGCGUAAAGCGUGCGCAGGCGGUGAUGUAAGCAAGCGGUGAAAGCCCCGGGCUCAACCUGGGAACUGCCUUUGUGACUGCAUCGCUGGAGGGCGGCAGAGGGGGAUGGAAUUCCGCGUGUAGCAGUGAAAUGCGUAGAUAUGCGGAGGAACACCGAUGGCGAAGGCAAUCCCCUGGGCCUGCACUGACGCUCAUGCACGAAAGCGUGGGGAGCAAACAGGAUUAGAUACCCCGGUAGUC